rnacentral:rRNA from 1 species
AUUGAACGCUGGCGGCAGGCUUAACACAUGCAAGUCGAGCGAGCGGCGGACGGGUGAGUAAUGUCUGGGAAACUGCCUGAUGGAGGGGGAUAACUACUGGAAACGGUAGCUAAUACCGCAUACCAUCAGAUGUGCCCAGAUGGGAUUAGCUAGUAGGUGGGGUAAUGGCUCACCUAGGCGACGAUCCCUAGCUGGGCUGAGAGGAUGACAAGCAACACUGUAAGUGAGAACCGGUCCAAAUCCCUCCGGGAGGAAGCAGUGGGGAAUAUGGCACAAUGGGCGCAAGCCUGAUGCAGCAAGGCCGCGGGUGUGAAGAGGGCCUGCGGGUGGUAAAGCACUUUCAGCGAGGAGGCGUUACUCGCAGAAGAAGCACCGGCUAACUCCGUGCCAGCAGCCGCGGUAAUUC